rnacentral:rRNA from 1 species
UGGGGAAUAUUGGACAAUGUGCGCAAGCCUGAUCCAGCCAUGCCGCGUGAGUGAUGAAGGCCCUAGGGUUGUAAAGCUCUUUCACCGGUGAAGAUAAUGACGGUAACCGGAGAAGAAGCCCCGGCUAACUUCGUGCCAGCAGCCGCGGUAAUACGAAGGGGGCUAGCGUUGUUCGGAAUUACUGGGCGUAAAGCGCACGUAGGCGGACUUUUAAGUCAGGGGUGAAAUCCCGGGGCUCAACCCCGGAACUGCCUUUGAUACUGGAAGGCUUGAGUAUGGAAGAGGUGAGUGGAAUUCCGGGUGUAGAGGUGAAAUUCGUAGAUAUUCGGAGGAACACCAGUGGCGAAGGCGGCUCACUGGACCAUUACUGACGCUGAGGUGCGAAAGCGUAGGGAGCAAACAGG